rnacentral:lncRNA from 1 species
UCACGACCCCCGAGGGUGGGAAAUAUGGGUCGAGACACUAGGUUUUGGGCGUAACAAAACCAUAGCAGAUACAAGGCUCACUUUCACAGGUACAGAACAAUCACACAUAGAUUCUAGAUUUCUAGUAUGUCAACGUUCGCAAGGGCUUCAAUGAUCCAGAGCAAUUCUCACACUAGAGGACCAAAUGCUCAAAAAUAGUUCCAUGGAGAUUAGGAACCAAACUCCAGCAUGUCAGAGUUUACAAGAGUCUCUCGUAGAUCUCGAGUGGUGCUCACACUGAGAAGGUGAAGGAUAGAACCUAAAAGAUCUAAGAGUGUGAGUUUAAAGUAGCAGCAUAUAAAAGGAGACAAUGGUAAAGGACAAAUUCUAAAAAAAGUUUGAUUUUAGAAAAUUCAUCGUGACAGAGUUUAAAACACAAAAUAUAUAGGUAGAAUUUCAUUAAAGAGACAAACUGGCAAGAUUUGAAAAGUUGUUCAUGCUCAAAUACACAACUUUAAUAAGUUCUGACGUAUACAAACAGAAAAAAUAAGCAACUAAAAAAGCGAGUGGGUUGACGAAUCGUUGCUUUACACAAAUAGCUAAUAUUACUUGAGUUGUAAGUAAAAAAAAGGCUAACCAGCUUUUGUCCAGGAAGCACAACAAAAGAAUAGUAAUAGGCAGAAGCAGUGGUAAGAAGGCCCAUCUCAAGUGAAAUAAAUAACAAUAGCAUUCAGUUGUCUUCACAACGGGGCAACAACCCUUAUUUUGCCAACUGAGGCCGCGAGCUCUAAUGUUUUUUUUGUUGGGACCACCAGAUUGAAGGAAACCUCAUGCAUGCUUUGUCACCUCUGCACUAUCUCGAUUAAUCGCCUUUUGCGCAUGCAUAAAGAUGUCUCCUUGUUUUAUAUGUCACUCGAUGACUUGAGUAGGAGCUUCCCCUUUCUUUCCCGUUGCUAAGGCCAGGUCCGAAGGAAGCGAGGUCUGAAAGGCCUAAUCAGGUUAAGUGUACAUGCUAACAUUUUAGGAUAGCUUUUUUUAAUUAUAGAAAACAUUUUUGACAAUGUAUUAAGUCAGAUAUUCGAUGAAUCCAAAUGGAUGCAAAAUAUAUUAGAAGUAAAGUUAUCAUGACACAUGAAUGACAGAGAAAAGUUUAAUAACAAUACAAAUUUUUAAAGACUUAGGAUUGAUUAAGUUGUGUACGCACUAGUAUUAUCCUAAAGGUGCUAAGUUCAGGAUAAUUUCAGAACUAGCAAAAUAACAUACAUGAAACAAGUUAAAAGAUAUUAAGUUAACCUCCAAGAGCAUUCACUUUAUUAAAAAAAACAAAUCUUAGAACUAACAGUAUCAAUUAUAGAGCUAAAGGAAAUCAUAGGAACAUAGAAGUGGUAGAAUCAAUCUCAAAGUGGACUUUAAACAUGCUAGAUCAUAAACACAAUUCAUGAAUACAUAGGAAUAAAAUGUAAAGGAUAGUCACUCAUUAGUUAGUAAAGAAAAGAAAGAAUAACACCACAAUAGUCGAAAACUCGGAAUAUUUGACUUGACUUUCAGCCAGCCAAACCAAUGAUAGAACGAGAUAGCAAAGAGAGAACAGAGCCAAAUUUUAAGUUUAUCAGUGAGAGUACAUUGAUUUUUUGUUUAUCUUAAAGGGGAAGGGAAAAAGGUUUAUAUAGCCUUAGAUUAGAGUACACAAAUAUGGAAAUAAUCAAUAAAAUUAUUUAAGGAAAUCUCAGAAUAUUAUUAAGGCAAGUCAAAAAUAACACUAAUCAAACAAGUCUGGUAACAACUAAGGCAAGUAACUAUAGAAUCAGUAGAUAAAACAGAAUAAUAAUCGAAACCCUAAUUUGAAGGGUAAACAAAGUUAAUCAGAAUAAUCUAAGGGAAACCAAAACGAUACCUAUAUAUACGGAUAUAGGAACACUAAAGAAGAAAUCAAAAAUAAGAACCUUUAACAGUUUUGAGCACUAAUUUAGGGCCAAUAAUUCAGGCAAACAAUAUCACAAAAAUAGAAUGCAGAUAUAGGGAAGGCUGAAAUACUCAACCAAAGUAAGACAAAAAAAUUUUUUAGCAAGAUCUGAAACCUAAUUUUAGGGAAAGCAAAUUAGGCAAAGUUUUUUAAUGAAAAAUCACAAAGAAACUAACAUGCAAGAACAUAAAAUAAGUUUUAAAAAAUAAUGAUAAAAAUAUAAACAGAUCUCUAAAAGAUCUAAACGCUAAUAUUCAGGAUAAAUGAAUAUAGAGAAAAAUCUCAAAUAUCCUUACAUAGAGAAAGGAAAAAUGAACACAGGUGAGAAAAGGGGAAGGUUCAAAAUAGAUUUGGUCCGAAAUUAGAGAGAUUAGCUUGCCAUGUUAUCCAAUCUACUAAACAAUACCAUAAUCGAGUAGCCAGAAAUAGAGGAUAACCAAUAAGGUAAGGAAAUCCACAUUUCUUGUUGGAAUAGAAAGAGAUUAGGAGUGACGGCGCUAAGGUUUUAGAAGAGGGGGAGAGGAGAGAGUUUGAGGACGGCGAUUUAG